CGGGGGGAGUGCCCUUCCUGACUUGAUCACCGGGAGUUCUGUUCUUCUGGGAACAAAAUACCUGGAAGAGCCCAACAUCGAGUGAUCACGUUUCCUCCAGAUUUCCAGGCCUGGGGCUGUUGCUUUUCUUUCCUGGAUGGGCUCCCAGCGCAGCCAGUGGCUCUUCCCGUCUGGACGGUGACUCAGGCUGAGAAAGCGCGUUUCUGUGACUUGAGCUGGCGUUUGCAGCACAGCCCUCGGAAAUGACUUCACUGACCAUGGGAGUCAGUGGCGCAGAUCAGGCUGGCAUCAAGCCGGCUGGCCCCCGGGCCACUGAGAACGUCUCACAGCCCCUUCGCCAAGACGUCCAGGGGUGUGUACUUCCAGCAAACCUCUACUGGAGACACCA